AAGAAGACGGCGAGUUCUCUUUGCGUCGAACACGCCACAGCUCGAGCUAAAGCAAGUGGUUCUGGAGUUGGCGAACAUGCGCCUAUCUACAAUGUCGCGUUUUAUUUAUCAACUUUCGAAACUUCGUUUCAACACGCCACCUCGCGAUUAUAAUGCUGAGCCAAUUUGCGUCUUUAACCGCACGAAUGGGCCAAAAAUGACGAUCAAAACGUGUUGACUCAGUUUACUGGCGGGAAUCCACUGAAGAUGGCCUGAAAUGGUGGCGCUUCCCCACGUGGCUCGAAAAUGGCCUGCGAAAACGAGCUGUUGAGGUGUGACCAUAAUGGUGGCAGAAUUUUAGAAGCGGUGACUAUUGUUCGCCAAAUCCCGCCGACAUGAGUCAGAUUUGAUUUUCAUGGGGGUGCUGAGGAACAUGUCAGUGGAGAAGAGUAGUAGAUGAAUCUCUGUCGGGGCUGUUCAUUUCCAAUGUCCAUAAAGUUCAGUUCUAUAAUCCCCUUGUGUGUUUGGUUAUUUUAAAAUGUCACGUGACCUGCACUGUCCUUCAAAUCCGACUGACCGUUCGUGGUCCUGAGGGUGAAGACUAGUGCGAGACGACUUGAUCUUGUCAUAACUGGGGUUUCUUGGCUUCCUCCCAAGUCUCUCUUUUAAAGCAAGAAACAAGAUUGUUUUCCCAAACUAAAUAAAACCCUGGUGUUCAAGCAAAUGUUUUUUUUAUUUUUUUUAUUGAUCCACUUGAUCAGAUGGGAAACAUUCUGUGACAUUACUGAACACAACAGCAAUGUGGACAUUUUCAUCACUGUGCAACAGAAACGAAAGGCGUCUUGUAGACUGAUGGCACAAGGACGGUUUUUCUUCUUCCAACAGAAUGCAACGGCUCACUGUGGAGGAAUGUUUGUUUUCAAGGCACUUUCUGCCUCAUACGUCACCGACAUCAUAGAACAUAAAAGUAAAGCCGCUGCAUCUUGGCAGGUCACAUUAAGUUUGUGUGUACAGUACAGAAAUGACAAGUCAAAUUAUUAAAACAAGCUGGCAAUAACACCAAAUCAGUCGUUUCACUGCUUCCCAGUUUGAGAGGUCACAAUUCACCCAAGUCCAAAACCUAUUUUGCAUUUGUGUGGUGGUAAAAUUAGGCAUGAAAUCACAUGUAACUGAAAAUCAUUAGGUUAAAAUUGUCUCAAUCUGGGGACAUGAUUGCUGGAGCAGAAUGUUUAAAAUGUUAUCAAAUAUUACAUAAAUAAAAGCCAACGUAU